UUCCUCCACAGAUCCUGCCAUCAUCUGAUUGCAUCAAAACUGCAGGCCAGAUCAACUGUUCCUGUGAGACUGUGGGAAAUCCUUUUCCCACUUUACACUGGUCUUUGGAUGGUCAGCCUGUCAGUCAGUCUGACAAGUUUGUGAUCAGCAGUGAGCGUCUACAUAAUGACAAAGGUCUGAGGAGCUUCAUCACUGUGAAUCAACCACAAGAGAUGAAUCGUUCCAUCUUGAUCUGCCACAGCUUCAACUCUCUUGGAUUUGCCAGUCAACAAUUCUGCCUUGAGCAUCAAGCAUGUGCUGAAAGUCAUGAUCCAGUGCUAUUUCUGAUGUUCUUUACCAAAAUUGCCAUCUUGCUUGCACUAUUUUGUGCUCUGCUGUGUGUUAUCAAGGCUCUGAAGAAUCGCCAAAACUCCAACAGUCAUCUCACAGGUGAAAUCAGCCGAGUUGCCAUGAGCCAACAUCUGAUAAAAGAGGCAAAUGAGGUACCCAACACACCAGAAGAGGACAUUUAUGUUAACACUGAACGCCAACCACAUGCUGCCAACCCUCCAACUGUGUCUGAGCCAAAUGAAGAAGAAUGAGGUUGACUGGAAGAGCAAGAAGCAGGAAGCAUCUAUCUGGUGGUUCCUAUCUGGAGGAGGAGAAGUGGAUGGUGGGGGGCAUUUGCAGGAAUUUUAUGAGUAAUGCACUGGAGAUGGGAAACCUGUAUGAUGAAGUGGAGUCUAGAAAUGUGAGAAAGGAAUCAGAGUGUGAAUAUGCAUAAGUUUUAAGGCAAAAGUGCAAGGAAAAAAAAUUCAUUUCACAUUUUCCACUGUUGGAAAGAACUGCUCAGCUACAUGCAUGUUUUCUUUUUGCAAAUAUCAAACUAAAAUUUUUUAGAAGGCUGGCCUGACAGGUACCAUUGUAUAGAAGAAAUUGUAGAAAUAUUCAAUCAAAAAUGUUGACAAUCCAUUCGGUAUCAUGGUAUAUGUUCAUAAAGGUUUUUACUCCAAAUGCUGGAUCCAACAUUUAUUGGAUCCAACUAUUGGCUAUUACCCUCCUUGAUUACUCAUAAUUUGUAUCAGUCCUGAAAGAAAUUAUUAUAUACUAUACUAUUUUGGAAAGAUUUUGUCUAAUUAAAUUGUUGAGACAGAAUCUUGUCACAUUUUAAAUACACAAUGAUUUUAAUAUUGAUGAACAGUUUCCACAAAUUCCACUGUCAAUGCAAAAUAAUACGGAAUGCUAUGUAUUUGCUUCUUUUUUAACUUAAAUGCUGAUAUUAGUCAUGUGUAAAUUGAGAAAACCCAUGCUGUUUUAUAUUUCUAUGCUUGUGUGGUAUAUAUUGUGUAAUGCAUUUCAAUAAUCUUGUAAUCUAGUAAUCUUGAGUUUUUUUCCUUUUGUCUUGAGUUGCAGUUUAUUUUAUCAAGAACUAUUUCAAAGCAGACAUUUUUGCAUUCAAUUUCU
ensembl:lncRNA